UAUCUUCAGGGCAGGGUGAAAGUCCCUACCGGCGGUAAAGCCCGCGAGCCUAUGGCAUGAUCCGGUGAGAUUCCGGAGCCGACAGUACAGUCUGGAUGAAAGAAGAU
rnacentral:ncRNA from 1 species